rnacentral:lncRNA from 1 species
AUGGAAAGCCAAAAGCCACGGCAGCUCCAUGUCCCCCAAACACAGCCCAGGAGUUUUUGUGUCCCGUUCUCAUGGUGCUGCUCUCUAACCCCCCCAGGGAGCGAUGCCAAGCACAGCCCAGAGCUGCUGGAUGUGGAUUCCAGCCCUGAUUCCGGAGCUGCUCCCCCAGGAGGAGCCCUCAGCAACGCUGAGGUGCGGAAAGGAGCUGUCCCAGAAAGUUCCAGCUCUGAUGAAAGCCACGGAUCCAACACUGUGGCCUUAGUGCUGGGCCCUCUUGCUGGCCUGAUCCUGAUUGCUGUGGCAGCUUUUGCCAUCGUCAAAUACAGGCAGCUGAAGAGAUCUGAGCUGGUGUCCGUGGGCAGCUACAGGACGAACAUCAGCAUGUCAGACUUUGAGAACGUGCGGGACCUGAGCGGCUGCAGCGGCGUGAUGGAGAGCCAGGAGACCCCGGUGGGAGGGGACGGUGAGUGCAGGGCGCAGCCCGGCGUGUCCCCCCCCCCCCCCCCCCCCCCCCCCCCCCCCCCCCCCCCCCCCCCCCCCCCCCCCCCCCCCCCCCCCCCCCCCCCCCCCCCCCCCCCCCCCCCCC